ensembl:lncRNA
CUCGAAACCAUUGAGAUGAUCUGUUUUAAACAGGCGAGCAGAUCCAGUGUCAUCAGUGAGCUGGUGAAAAGAUACCAGGACAAGAACAUCAAGCUGAAUUUCAUAUACGACACUGUGUGCUGUCCUCACAUAUACAUAAAUCAUGUAGAGCACACGAAGGCUUCCUGGGUUUGGGCUGAACGAUGGAGAAGGCAUGGAGAGGUUCUGCUCCUUCCUCAGAAGAUCUGCACGAGUCACAAACAGAUGACUCCAUCACAUCGACUGGACCUUCUGACUGAUGCACUAUUGCAUUAUGGGAGGAGGAAGUCAUUGGAUCUAGGUCUACAUAUUUCUGUAUUAGUAGUUAAAAUGACUCAUUUCGAUUCAAACUGAGAGAGCUGACAGUUCCUACUGAUAGAAGUGCAGCUCCUUCAGAGAUGGGACAAAGAGGAGAAGGUCACCAGUCUGCUGAGGAGGAGAUUUCUGCCGUCCUGAAAGAGUCCCCGAGUAACCCGACUUUAAUGGACCGUAUGCUUGUAGUCGCAAGUGAAUCUUUUCUCCCCAUGUUUGUCCAAGUGACUAUUUCAGAACAAGACAUCCAACAGUGGAUGGAAAGAGAGACAGAAGCUGCCAAACAUGCACUUUUGAAAACAAGACCCAAAGGCCAGAGAUGCUCUUCAAACAACUGACAGACAUGCCCACAUUACAAGAAGAUGGUGUGAGUCUGAUUUGAUGUUCCAGUCAAUGCUGAGAGACCUUGACAAGGAAGUCAGAGGUCAGCUGAUGAUGCGAGCAGGAAAUGAAGAAGGAAGAAGGAUCGCUCUACUUAAUCUCAAG